ensembl:lncRNA
GGGGCGGCAGGAUAGCCUAGUGGUUAGAGUGUAGAGGCGGCAGGGUAGCCUAGUGGUUAGAGUGUAGAGGCGGCAGGGUAGCCUAGUGGUUAGAGUGUAGGCGGCAGGGUAGCCUAGUGGUUAGAGUGUAGAGGCGGCAGGAUAGCCUAGUGGUUAGAGUGUAGAGGCGGCAGGGUAGUCUAGUGGUUAGAGUGUAGAGGCGGCAGGAUAGCCUAGUGGUUAGUGCGUUGGACUAGUAACCGAAAAGUUGCAAGUUCAUAUCCCCGAGCUGACAAGGUACAAAUCUGUCGUUCUGCCCCUGAACAGGCAGUUAACCCACUGUUCCUAGGCCGUCAUUGAAAAUAAGAAUUUG